GACGAACGCUGGCGGCGUGCUUAACACAUGCAAGUCGAACGAAGUGGCGAACGGGUGAGUAACGCGUAAUCAACCUGCCCUUCAGAGGGGGACAACAGUUGGAAACGACUGCUAAUACCGCAUACUGAAGGAGGGGAUUGCGUGUGAUUAGCUAGUUGGCGGGGUAACGGCCCACCAAGGCGAUGAUCAGUAGCCGGUCUGGGAGGAGGAACGGGCAAAUGUGGACUGAGACACGGCCCAGACUGCUACGGGAAGCAGCAGUGGGGAAUCUUCCGAAAUGGACGAAAGGCUGACGGAGCAACGCCGCGGGAGGGAUGACGGCCUUCGGGUUGGAAAGCUCUGUUAAUCGGGACGCGGUACCGGAAUAGAAAGCCACGGCUAACUACGUGCCAGCAGCCGCGGUAAUUC
rnacentral:rRNA from 1 species